GGAGACAUAGCUCAGCUGGGAGAGCGAGCGACUGAAGUUCAGUCAUCAGACCAUGUGGAUCGAAGGGUUCACUUGUUUAUCGCUAGGUCGGGUGUUCAAUCCACUCUGGCUCCA